rnacentral:rRNA from 1 species
CAGGAUGAACGCUGGCGGCGUCCCUAUACAUGCAAGUCGAACGAAACUUCUUUAUCACCGAGUGCUUGCACUCACCGAUAAAGAGUUGAGUGGCGAACGGGUGAGUAACACGUGGGCAACCUGCCCAAAAGAGGGGGAUAACACUUGGAAACAGGUGCUAAUACCGCAUAACCAUAGUUACCGCAUGGUAACUAUGUAAAAGGUGGCUAUGCUACCGCUUUUGGAUGGGCCCGCGGCGCAUUAGCUAGUUGGUGAGGUAAAGGCUUACCAAGGCAAUGAUGCGUAGCCGAACUGAGAGGUUGAUCGGCCACAUUGGGACUGAGACACGGCCCAAACUCCUACGGGAGGCAGCAGUAGGGAAUCUUCCACAAUGGGCGAAAGCCUGAUGGAGCAACGCCGCGUGGGUGAAGAAGGUCUUCGGAUCGUAAAACCCUGUUGUUAGAGAAGAAAGUGCGUGAGAGUAACUGUUCAUGUUUCGACGGUAUCUAACCAGAAAGCCACGGCUAACUACGUGCCAGCAGCCGCGGUAAUACGUAGGUGGCAAGCGUUAUCCGGAUUUAUUGGGCGUAAAGGGAACGCAGGCGGUCUUUUAAGUCUGAUGUGAAAGCCUUCGGCUUAACCGGAGUAGUGCAUUGGAAACUGGGAGACUUGAGUGCAGAAGAGGAGAGUGGAACUCCAUGUGUAGCGGUGAAAUGCGUAGAUAUAUGGAAGAACACCAGUGGCGAAAGCGGCUCUCUGGUCUGUAACUGACGCUGAGG